UACGUAGGGGGCAAGCGUUGUCCGGAUUUAUUGGGCGUAAAGAGCGUGUAGGCGGCCAGGUAGGUCCGCUGUGAAAACUCGAGGCUCAACCUCGAGAUGUCGGCGGAAACCAUCUGGCUAGAGUCCGGAAGAGGAGAGUGGAAUUCCUGGUGUAGCGGUGAAAUGCGCAGAUAUCAGGAGGAACACCUAUUGCGAAGGCAGCUCGCUGGGACGUAACUGACGCUGAGACGCGAAAGCGUGGGGAGCAAACAGG
rnacentral:rRNA from 1 species